GAAAUUUUCUCGAUAAAAAAUGGGCAAUAGAUUUAUUAAUAUUAAUGUAAAAAAAUUAUUUAUAAUAGGUUUAUUGAAAUGAAACGUUAUUCGUAUUUUUUUAUAUCUAGUUUUUUAAGAAAUAAGUUGAAUUUACUUAUUAAUAUUUAAUUUUUUGAGUUAUUAAUUAAUUAAUAGUUAAUAUGGUAUUUUAUUGGGGAUAAGCUCAGUAAAAAAUGAUUAAGUUAUUUAUUAUUAAAUAUUUAGUGGGAAUAGAGGUUUCUAUCUAUUAUAGUGUGUUAUUACAAGUUAUUUAUAUAAUAAGAUUUUUAUUAUAAUUAAUUGAUUUAUUAGAAUAGUUAAUAUAAUUUAGAAUUUAAUGAAAUAAUGAUUAAAUUAGUAUAUAAAUUAGUUAUAUAAAUUAGGUGGAUAGGUAUAAUGAAAGGAAUUCGGCAAAGGGGUUUUCGCCUGUUUAUUAAAAACAUGGUCUUUUGAUUAUAAUUUAAGAUUUGACCUGCCCAAUGAGGAGUUGAAUGGCUGCAGUAUUUUGACUGUACAAAGGUAGCAUAAUAAUUAGUUUUUUAAUUGAGGACUGGAAUGAAGGGUUGGACGAGAAAUUAGCUGUCUUUAUUAUAAUUAGGUAGAAUUUUAUUUUUAAGUAAAAAAGCUUAAAUAGGUUUAAAAGACGAGAAGACCCUAUAGAACUUUAUAUUUUUUAUAUUAAUAUGAAUAUUAGUAAUUAAUUUUAUUAAUAUGAAAAGUAUUAUGUUGGGGUGAUAGAAAAAUUGAUUUAACUUUUUUAUAUUAAUUAUACUAAUAAGUAUUUACUUGAUCCAUUUAUUGUGAUUAUUAGAUUAAGUUACCUUAGGGAUAACAGCGUAAUCCUUUUUGAGAGUUCUUAUUGAGAGAAGGGGUUGCGACCUCGAUGUUGGAUUAAAUUAAAUUAUAGGUGUAGAAGCUUGAUAAUUUGGUCUGUUCG
rnacentral:rRNA from 1 species